rnacentral:rRNA from 1 species
GACGAACCGUCCGAACGUUAUUCGGAAUCAUUGGGCUUAAAGGGUGCGUAGGCGGCGCGGAAAGUUGGGUGUGAAAUCCCUCGGCUCAACCGAGGAACUGCGCCCAAAACUACCGUGCUCGAGGGAGAUAGAGGUGAGCGGAACUUAGGGUGGAGCGGUGAAAUGCGUUGAUAUCCUAAGGAACACCGGUGGCGAAAGCGGCUCACUGGAUCUCUUCUGACGCUGAGGCACGAAAGCUAGGGUAGCGAACGGG